AUGUCUCUCGCGCCUCCUCUGCUCCGCCUCCGCGCCCCCCGCCCCGACGCCGCCCUCUCCACCGCCGUCCCGUCCCGCCCUCUCCCUGGAUGCCUCGCCAUCGGGCGGGGUCUCGGCUCCGGCCGCGCCUACUGCCUCUUCUCCGGCGCCGGCGCCGGCCGCCGGAAGCAGGAGGAAGCUAGGAGAGGGCUGGAGAGUGCCGUAGACCAGAACAAGACGGGGUUCGGGACAUGGGGCGUGGAAACUGUUACAAGGCGGCUAAGAGACCGGCGUGGUGGCCCUGCUCCUGCUGUCGGUGGCGGUGGCAGGGGAAGGUCUGGAGGAGGAGGUGGUGGAGGUGGAGGUGGUUGGUUCAGGUGGUUUAGCAGUGGAGGCUUCUGGGACGCUGCGAAGCAGACUGUUCUGACGAUCCUUGGCAUUAUCGCGGCGGUCUUCCUCAUCGCGAAUUUCAACGUGCUUCUGGGGGCUGCCGUCUACCCGUUGCUGGUCGUGCUGCGGCAAAUAAGGCGCGCACUCACCUUUGCGGCUUAUUGUGUUUCUCGGGCCAUGUCGGCACCCGCUUCCAGGCCGAAGCCAACUCCUGUAGACAGCGCUGAAGUGGUGGCCGCAGCGCCUGUCAAAGAAAGAGCCAGAAUGUCUGCAAGAGAAAGAGUUGUUGCGAAAUGGCGUUCGGACUGA
rnacentral:rRNA from 1 species